rnacentral:rRNA from 1 species
AUUGAACGCUGGCGGCAGGCCUAACACAUGCAAGUCGAACGGUAGCACAGAGAGCUUGCUCUCGGGUGACGAGUGGCGGACGGGUGAGUAACGUCUGGGAAACUGCCCGAUGGAGGGGGAUAACUACUGGAAACGGUAGCUAAUACCGCAUAACGUCGCAAGACCAAAGUGGGGGACCUUCGGGCCUCACACCAUCGGAUGUGCCCAGAUGGGAUUAGCUAGUAGGUGGGGUAAUGGCUCACCUAGGCGACGAUCCCUAGCUGGUCUGAGAGGAAGACCAGCCACACCGAAACUGAGACACGGGCCAGACUCCUACGGGAGGCAGCAGUGGGGAAUAUUGCACAAUGGGCGCAAGCCUGAUGCAGCCAUGCCGCGUGUAUGAAGAAGGCCUUCGGGUUGUAAAGUACUUUCAGCGGGGAGGAAGGCGGUGAAGUUAAUAGCUUCACCGAUUGACGUUACCCGCAGAAGAAGCACCGGCUAACUCCGUGCCAGCAGCCGCAGUAA